rnacentral:rRNA from 1 species
UACAGAGGGGGCAAGCGUUGUUCGGAAUUACUGGGCGUAAAGGGCGCGUAGGCGGCCUGUUAAGUCGAACGUGAAAUCCCUGGGCUCAACCCAGGAACUGCGCUCCGAUACUGGCAGGCGUUGAAUUCGGGAGAGGGAUGCGGAAUUCCAGGUGGUAGCGGUGAAAUGCGUAGAUAUCUGGAGGAACACCGGUGGCGAAGGCGGCAUCCUGGACCGAUAUUGACGCUGAGACACGAAAGCCAGGGGAGCAACGGG